ACAAGCGGUGGAGCAUGUGGUUAAUUCGAAGCAACGCGAAGAACCUUACCAGGUCUUGACAUCCCUGACAACCCAAGAGAUUGGGCGUUCCCCUUCGGGGGACAGGGUGACAGGUGGUGCAUGGUUGUCGUCAGCUCGUGUCGUGAGAUGUUGGGUUAAGUCCCGCAACGAGCGCAACCCUCGCCUCUAGUUGCCAGCAUUCGGUUGGGCACUCUAGAGGGACUGCCGGCGACAAGUCGGAGGAAGUGGGGAUGACGUCAAAUCAUCAUGCCCCUUAUGACCUGGGCUACACACGUGCUACAAUGGGCGGUACAAAGGGCUGCGAACCCGCGAGAGCGCGCCAAUCUCAGAAAGCCAUCCUCAGUUCGGAUUGGAGUCUGCAACUCGACUCCAUGAAGUUGGAAUCGCUAGUAAUCGCGGAUCAGCACGCCGCGGUGAAUACGUUCCCGGGCCUU
rnacentral:rRNA from 1 species